rnacentral:rRNA from 1 species
GACGAACGCUGGCGGCGUGCUUAACACAUGCAAGUCGAACGGAAAGGCCCUGCUUUUGUGGGGUGCUCGAGUGGCGAACGGGUGAGUAACACGUGAGUAACCUGCCCUUGACUUUGGGAUAACUUCAGGAAACUGGGGCUAAUACCGGAUAGGAGCUCCUGCUGCAUGGUGGGGGUUGGAAAGUUUCGGCGGUUGGGGAUGGACUCGCGGCUUAUCAGCUUGUUGGUGGGGUAGUGGCUUACCAAGGCUUUGACGGGUAGCCGGCCUGAGAGGGUGACCGGCCACAUUGGGACUGAGAUACGGCCCAGACUCCUACGGGAGGCAGCAGUGUGGAAUAUUGCACAAUGGGCGGAAGCCUGAUGCAGCAACGCCGCGUGCGGGAUGACGGCCUUCGGGUUGUAAACCGCUUUCGCCUGUGACGAAGCGUGAGUGACGGUAAUGGGUAAAGAAGCACCGGCUAACUACGUG